rnacentral:rRNA from 1 species
AGUGAACGCUGGCGGCAGGCCUAACACAUGCAAGUCGAGCGGCAGCGCGGGGGCAACCCUGGCGGCGAGCGGCGGACGGGUGAGGAAUUCGUCGGAAUCUGCCUUUUUGUGGGGGAUAACGUAGGGAAACUUACGCUAAUACCGCAUACGUCCUACGGGAGAAAGUGGGGGACCGCAAGGCCUUACGCAGAAAGAUGAGCCGACGACCGAUUAGCUAGUUGGUGGGGUAAAGGCCCACCAAGGCGACGAUCGGUAGCUGGUCUGAGAGGAUGAUCAGCCACACUGGGACUGAGACACGGCCCAGACUCCUACGGGAGGCAGCAGUGGGGAAUAUUGGACAAUGGGCGCAAGCCUGAUCCAGCCAUGCCGCGUGUGUGAAGAAGGCCUUCGGGUUGUAAAGCACUUUUGUCCGGAAAGAAAUCCCUGGAGCUAAUACCUUCGGGGGAUGACGGUACCGGAAGAAUAAGCACCGGCUAACUUCGUG